rfam:Brassica napus, WGS project CCCW01000000 data, contig: 18248
GGAAUAUAAGAAACCGUUUUUUAACUUUUAACUAAAAAAAUUAAGAACAGACUCUUAAAUAAGAUAUUUAAGAGCCGGUUCUUAUCUUUUUAGUUAAAAGUUAAGAUACCGUUUCUUAUAAUCC